AGAAAUGCGUAUGACUGCCCCUGCUCCAACCUUGACAGCCUUUUUGGAAGUGAAAGGCGAAGGAGAGUUGUCACUGAAAAGAAGAGAGUGACUCCCUGCCUGUCCGUGGGCAGCCUGAUAGGUGACAGCAUUGAGACUUGGAAGGGCUCACAGAUCAUGACUGAUCUUGGACUGUUGAGAUGGCUUGGCAGGUAAAAACUAUUUGCAGGCCGAGUCGGACAACCUGACUUGUGACGGUAAAGGAGCAGUAAUGACGGCUGGGAAUUGUCCUGACUUCCACGGAAGUACCAUGGGAUCCAUGUGCACGUGCAUUGUAAAAGAAGAUUACGUAAAAACCAAGGCUGGUGGCUCUAAAGGCAGGCAGCUCAUGGAGUCAUCAAUGAGAGGGUUAGACCAGGAAUGAGCCCUGCUGAACCUUCUCUGAAUUGUACAGGUGGGUUUCUGUGCUGUGGUUUCUGCUGACAGACCAGGGGAUAAGCCCAACCUUCUGAAUGACCCGAAGACAAAAAAGUCGGAGCGAUGAGGGAGGGAGAGUAGGAGUCACAGACCUCCUCACCUUUAUGUUUGUCUUAAGUCUUCAUCGGAAGAUGCAGAAGGCAGUGUUAUCAAUAGGGCAUGAUUAGCCCUGCUGAUUUGAGAAUAAAAUUCGGCUGUAAAUACAGUAUCCAAAUGUACU
ensembl:processed_transcript